UACGAAGGGGGCUAGCGUUGUUCGGAUUUACUGGGCGUAAAGCGCACGUAGGCGGAUUGGUCAGUUAGGGGUGAAAUCCCAGAGCUCAACUCUGGAACUGCCUUUAAUACUGCCAGUCUUGAGUCCGAGAGAGGUGAGUGGAAUUCCUAGUGUAGAGGUGGAAUUCGUAGAUAUUAGGAAGAACACCAGUGGCGAAGGCGGCUCACUGGCUCGGUACUGACGCUGAGGUG
rnacentral:rRNA from 1 species